UACGUAGGGGCGAGCGUUGUCCGGAAUGACUGGGCGUAAAGGGCGCGUAGACGGCUUUUUAAGUCUGGAGAGAAAGUCCUGCUUUCAAGGUGGGAAUUGCUUUGGAGACUGGAAGGCUUGAGUGCGGAAGAGGUAAGUGGAAUUCCCAGUGUAGCGGUGAAAUGCGUAGAGAUUGGGAAGAACACCAGUGGCGAAGGCGACUUACUGGGCCGUAACUGACGUUGAUGCGCGAAAGCGUGGGGAGCGAACAGGAUUAGAUACCCCCGUAGUCCCUGAGCGGG
rnacentral:rRNA from 1 species